GAUGAACGCUGGCGGCGUGCCUAAUACAUGCAAGUCGAGCGAACGGACGAGAAGCUUGCUUCUCUGAUGUUAGCGGCGGACGGGUGAGUAACACGUGGAUAACCUACCUAUAAGACUGGGAUAACUUCGGGAAACCGGAGCUAAUACCGGAUGAUAUUUUGAACCGCAUGGUUCAAAAGUGAAAGACGGUCUUGCUGUCACUUAUCGAUGGAUCCGCGCUGCAUUAGCUAGUUGGUAAGGUAACGGCUUACCAAGGCAACGAUGCAUAGCCGACGUGAGAGGGGGAUAGGCCACACGGGAACUGAGACACGGUCCUGACUCCUACGGGAGGCAGCAGUAGGGAAUCUUCCGCAAUGGGCGAAAGCCUGACGGAGCAACGCCGCGUGAGUGAUGAAGGUCUUCGGAUCGGAAAACUCUGUUAUUAGGGAAGAACAUAUGUGUAAGUAACUGUUCACAGCUUGACGGUACCUAAUCAGAAAGCCACGGCUAACUACGUG
rnacentral:rRNA from 1 species